rnacentral:misc_RNA from 1 species
CGCCAUUUCUUGAUUAUUAUGAAAAGAGACUUGUACAAAACAUAAAACCCAUUUGACAGAAGCAAUUAAGAAAACCAUUCUCCCCGACUAGAAAGUAGGCCCAGCUAAAGGAGGAGUAAUUAACAGCUUUCAAAGCUUCUUCGAUGGCUUCCAUUAGGACGGAGAAUAUAAACAAUGUCUAAAUCCCUAAUUAAAUCUUGCUCAAUUAACUUUCAUCAUUACAACACAAACGCAAUUCACAG